CUUCCUGCCGAUCCAAGUCCUCGCCGAUUUGGCCAAGUCUUUGCCCCUAGGCCACGGAAUCCACUCUAUAUAUAUUCCCCAUCUUCUUCUCUUUCGACUUUUGGCAAAUUUUUGUCUUCCCGUGCCCGUUUCGCCCGGAUCCGAUCUUGCCGGAGUUCGCCGCUGCAGGAGCAUCUCGCCGGUUGUUUCCGUCGACGCAGAAGGGAAGCACCCAUCCGAGUGCUUCGACCUCCGCCCCGACGAACACCACCGUCGCCGCUCCAGCCGAACCUCACGGACGUUAGCACAAGGACCGGUCGUCCCGGAGGACGUUUUGGAGUUCGACGUGUCCCUCCUUGCCUCGUCCUGUUCUCCCCGAGCUCGGGAGGCCUUUCCAGCGACGCCAGCUUCAAAUCCGAGCCGCGCCGCCGCCGUCUCAUUCAAUUCCGGCCGGCCUACUCUGUUCCUCUCCGAUUGUCCGGAGUGUGAAGCGGAUCGGAAUUAAUUGUUAGAGUACUUCAGCACCGUUCAAGG